rnacentral:rRNA from 1 species
UACAGAGGGUGCAAGCGUUGUUCGGAAUUACUGGGCGUAAAGGGCGCGUAGGCGGUUUGAAUCGUCGGAUGUGAAAGGCCUGGGCUCAACCUGGGAACGGCAUCCGAUACGGUCAGACUUGAGUGUGGGAGAGGUUGGUGGAAUUCCCAGUGUAGAGGUGAAAUUCGUAGAUAUCGGGAAGAACACCGGUGGCGAAGGCGGCCAACUGGACCACAACUGACGCUGAGGCGCGAAAGCGUGGGGAGCAAACAGG